ACUAAUUCGAAUGUGCCUCUGAUGAUGUGGGAGGCCCGAGGGACAGGUUGGGUUUAGGACUGCGGGGGUGACUUCUCUGCCCCUUAAAAAGGCCAGCAGCGUCCACCACACAGCAGCUCACCGGAACUUCGCAAAAGUCGUAAUUCAAGAAAAUCAUUGAUAUCGAGGAAGCAGAAGAUCUUCGGAAUUUUGUAAAUAGCAUCACGAUGUCGAAGUGGCUUCCAUUGGCUUCACUCCUGCUCCUCCUAGUCCUAUGGACGGAGACAGUGGCUCCAGCUCAAGUGGAUUUUGAAAGAUUGGGCGACUUGGAGGAGACAGCUAGGCAAGCGCCAAGUCGAAACACCACCGGAUUGAUUUGGCCCUGGAUCGUCGGGGGAAUCAUUUCUGCAGCCGAUCUCACUUCCUGUGGAGACAGGGGCUGUAUAGCUCGCAAGGGCCGAUGUGGAUUUAAUCAUUUCAAAACCUGCUCAUUGAAGACAAUGACUUUGUGCUCUGGAUUGUGCACCUGCUGCGUCCCAUAAGCUCUUCAGGGAGACAGGCAGGCGCCAGCCUCCACAGCAUUUGAAAGACGACGAACUUGGACCGAGGAAAGGACAACACAGCUUUCGGGGACACUCAGCGAUCGCACUGGAGCCACAACUUUCUGAAGAUAAACUGUGCGAGCGAUUGAUGAAAGCAAUCAACUCUGUUUUCUGCAGAACGACUUUUCGAAGAAGAGAAUGGUCUGAUUUAACUGAAAUCAUCGCCUGCAGCAGAAAGUAAUCAACACUGCUUCGUAAUCCAAAAAAUGAAUUGUUUAUCACAAUUUCAAUUGAGAUGAUCUGGUUAAUGGAACAAUUAAAAACUGGAAAGUAAUCAGUUUAUUUAUGAUAAAAAAUGUUUUAGAAGUUUCUAAUAAAACUGAGGCAUAAGUUAUCCUGUAUGUAAAUGUAUUCUAGAUAAAAGCAAUACCACUUGUAAGAAUUAUUAAAGCAUGAAAAUAAAAACAAAUAAAUGUGGCCAAAGAAAACAACGAUUUUGUAAGCCCCAAGAACUUUCAAAAUCAUCUCGAAAUUAUAUAUGUAUUUUUUAAUGAAACUAUUAUUUUCAUUACGUUCUUUUUAUUGUUUCUGUGUUUACUGGCAUCUCUAUCAACAAUAAACUUGCACCGAGACAACCUCCACUGCAGAAAUGAAAUCACUGUCGUAACAGGAAGACUAAAAAGCAAUGAGAACUCGUCAUCUUGGAUGUUGAAUUCAUGUUAAUUUUUGUUUGCCGAAGCUGUGUGUGUGUGUGUAUGUGUGUGUGGAGGAUACAAGCUGAAAAUGGCUGUUGAGUCCAUUCAGUUUACUUUCCGGUAUUGCACUAGUUUUCAAACAAGAUUUCUCUUGGAUUUCAGAUUUAGCACAAAUUAAGGCAAUGCUCUCUCUCUCUCUCUCUCUCUCUCUCUCUCUCUCCUCUCUCUCUCUCUCUGUAACAAACUGCAGGACAUAACUCGGUGUUGUUGCAUUAGAUGAUGAGCUGUUAGGUAUUGUAAAACGGUAAAAGGCCAUAAAAAGAAAGGUUUCCA